AUCUCUUCAUCACUAGAGCUGGACAUUUCAAGUUCACAACACUACCCCUUUGCUCAGCUUCUACAUUAUCAUGCCCAACCUUUUAUUGUUCUCUCUAUGCCUAUCCUAUUUAAACUUUAAGGUGACCUUGUGGUUGCUCUUCUAAUUCCUAAAUGGAGCCAUGUUCUUAUAAAACUAACAUGUUCCAUUCUAAACUCAUUAUGCAAACGAAUCCCGAAAGCCUUUCCCUUUGCCACCUUAGG
rnacentral:lncRNA from 1 species